CCAUGCCCCUUACGAAGACUACUCCUAGAAAACAAAACAAACGUCCUAUGUGUCCCUUUAAGACCAUGGAUCAGGAUGAGCUAAAGAGUCACAUAAGUGAAUGUGGAUUGAGACAAAUUGAGAAAAGAUCUCAUUGUAAAGAAUGCAGUUACAGCACAAACAAGAAUGCUAAUUUGGCGAGGCAUAAAGAGGCACUGUUAGGAAACUCGAGUACAAGAGAACAGAGAGUCGGUAAAACAUGCUGUUAGUUCACCUUGUCCCUCAGAAGUUCAAAGUCUCAUCGGUGAUGUGUCGGAAGAUUCUGAUAUUGAAGAAGUAAGUUCAGAAGAGCCUGAACCACAGGAAGGUACCAAAGUUGCUGGGAAGAGCCAAAAUGAGUUCGAGAAGUUGAGGGAUGAGAAGUCCUCUGAAAUAGAAGUCGGCAGAACCGUUAGAAAGCCGAGUGAACCGACACCUGUCCAAGUUCCCAAGAGGAGGAUUGGAGACGAAAAGUUCCAGUCUACCUUGCAGAAGACUGUAAAGGCAAUGAACCAGUUCCUGCCUUAGUAAUCUCUGACCUAUUCAAUAUCAAUAUCUCCUGAGCUAUUCAAGGUUUAACACAUUUUCGCAGGAUGGUACAUGUACCGGUACGGACUUUCACUUUACAAUGAGGUCAUGAGGUAAACCCAAACUUCCGCCAGAGGUCGUUUGAUCACAAACGUAUUUACACAGGAGUUGCUAAAACGCGGAACGAAAAACGAAUGAUUAAUGUAGCUAAAAUAACACCAUAAAAUCGGGAAACUAUGCUUUAUUUUAAUUAAAAAUCAAUUUUAGGAUUUGUUUAUAAGAGGUCAAACAAUUUUAUCUUAACAUUCUGCACCAUAAAUUGAUUGUUUACAGUUUACAGAGCGUUUUACAAGAAUUUUGUAACUUUAGCAGCGACACUUAUAUGUAGAGAAUGGAAAGAACACACAGGGUUGUGAUUUUUAAAUGAUUUUUUUCUCGUGGCAAGACAUUUUGUGUUCGAUUUUAUUUUAGUUUGUUUACCAAUAGACAUCGAGUGACCGCGACACUCCAAUCCUAAAUAGGCCAGAACCUCUGGCAGUGUAUUUCCAAUCUAAACACUUGAAUCUUAAUAUUUAGAUUAAUAAUGAGAUGACCGUUAAUUCCAUUAAAACAUAAAUUCUCUGUUAGCCUUUCAUAUAUUUUGAAAUAAAUCUGUUCCUCUUACUAAGGGGCAUAAACUUCACCUUAGUUUCAUUGGUUGUUUCAAUCGUAUUUGAGACAUCAGAAACUAAUACUAAUUCAGUGGCGGAUCCAAAAAUUUCUGAAUGGGGACGCAGUAAACAACUGGGUUAGAGGUACUUGCUUACCCAGUGCCAAGCCCCCUCAAACUUGAGUUAUGACAAAUAUGGAGUGGUUUGGACGUAUUUAUAUAAAAAAAAAAUAAUUAAAAUUUAAGGGGUGCGCCCAGCGCUGGAUCCAUCACGGCGAUAUGCGAUCUGGUCACCUUAAAAUCAGUCUGCAUCUUACACCAAGGUCUUCCCUAGAAGAACCUCUAUGACUUAGAAGACAAAUAUAUUUGUAAUUAUCCAAAGAUUUCACGUUGUUCUACGCGUAGCCGGAAACAUUUGUCAACAUGCUCCCUGGAUGAGCCGUACGACUCCAUAACUCUGUCCAAUACUUCGCCUUUGAUCCACUCACUCUGAUCAUCAGUACAAAGUAACACUGAGUCGAUCAAACGUUAUUGUUUAAUAGUUGGUAUCUAAUAGAAAAACAUUACUAAGAUCAUGUAAAUUUGUAUCAUUGUUCUUUUUAACGUACAGUAGUCUCCGUUAUUAUUUUUUAUACAUGAAGCAAGUUAAUUUUACACACAAAGUAAGAAAUUUUGGCGGAAUACCCCUUCCCCCUUUCUUUACAGCAGUAAAGAAUGGGAGUGGAAAUACAAACUUCAACUAAUGGAUUGAAACUAUGUCGUAGUGAAGAGGACCAUUGCUUCCCAAACUUUGAAAAACGAUGCGAGAAAUAAAAGUUCGAUUGUAAAAAAAAUAAUAAAAAAAUCCAUAACAUAUAACAGAAUGCUGUUUAAUUGGCCUAUAUACAUUAAGCAUUUAAUCCAUUGUAUUGACAAGACAACAUACAUUGUAUAACACAAAAUAAUAGCCUGACACUGGGACCAGUACAUAUAUUUACAUAUAUAUACUCUGUCAGAGCUACAGGUACAGAUCCACAGAAAAUGCAAUCAGCAUCCUACACAUUCAAACAAGUACACAAAUAAUUUCAUCAACAUCCAAAUAUGAAGAUACUUUAUUUCUACAUUCGCAGAAUGCAACAGAUUAUUGAUAUCAGCGCUGUAUAUAGACAUCAAAAAACUAUUGCACACUCAUGCCCUGUGUCAGGGAAGAACCUUUGGCUCCAUCAACAUGUUUGGUCAUGAAACUAAUCCCUGCUCACUGUUCACUAUGGAGAUUUGGAUAAUUCAUGUACAUGUUUGUCAACAAAUGACCAAUUCAUACAAGAUAUAUAUAU